GAUGAACGCUGGCGGCGUGCCUAAUACAUGCAAGUCGAGCGAACAGACGAGAAGCUUGCUUCUCUGAUGUUAGCGGCGGACGGGUGAGUAACACGUGGAUAACCUACCUAUAAGACUGGGAUAACUUCGGGAAACCGGAGCUAAUACCGGAUGAUAUUUUGAACCGCAUGGUUCAAAAGUGAAAGACGGUCUUGCUGUCACUUAUAGAUGGAUCCGCGCUGCAUUAGCUAGUUGGUAAGGUAACGGCUUACCAAGGCAACGAUGCAUAGCCGACCUGAGAGGGUGAUCGGCCACACUGGAACUGAGACACGGUCCAGACUCCUACGGGAGGCAGCAGUAGGGAAUCUUCCGCAAUGGGCGAAAGCCUGACGGAGCAACGCCGCGUGAGUGAUGAAGGUCUUCGGAUCGUAAAACUCUGUUAUUAGGGAAGAACAUAUGUGUAAGUGACUGUGCACAUCUUGACGGUACCUAAUCAGAAAGCCACGGCUAACUACGUG
rnacentral:rRNA from 1 species